GAAAUGGUUCUGGGAACUUACAGCUUUAAUAAGAUCAAACAAUGCAUCAAAUGGAGGUCUGAGUUGGAGAUCUGGGCUUCGACCUGCAGAAAUAAGAAUUGAGGCCUGUUGGGUGCUUCGCUGCUGGCAGUGCUCUCUCACGUGCCCUUUCCAGCUGGCUCUCACCUGAUUCUCAGACACCUCUGAGAGCUAGGUGGUGUUCUCGUGUACAUGUUAGAGAUGAGGAAACCCAAUCUCUGACAGCUGUCUAUCCACCUGUUUGGAAGGGGCUGAACUGUGUUCCCCCCAAGCUCAUCUGUUGAAGCUUUAACCCCCAGUACUUCAAAGCAUGUCUUUAUUCAGAGAUAGUCUUUCAAGAGAUAAUUAAGAUGCAGUGAAGUCAUUAGCGUGGGCCCUAAUCCGAUCUGACUGGUGUCCUAACAGGAAGAGGAGAUUAGAACACAGACAUGACCAUGUAAGGACACAGGGAGAAGGCGGCCGUCUGUAAGCCAAGGAGGGAGGCUCAGAAGGAACGAACCCUGCUCACACCUGGAUCCCAGACUUCUAGCUUCCAGGACGGAGAAAAUAAAUGUUGUUGAAGCCGCCUACCCUAUGGUACUUUAUUAUGGAAGCCCUAGCACACUAAUACAUUAAGAAUAAGGAAGAAAUGGUUUCACAAAUUAUAUUGCAUCAAUGUGAACUCUCUUUGGGCACAAACACAGGAUAAACAUCUGUCAGAUAGGAUUAAAGUGCCUGUGUGCCACUGAGGAAUGGGAUGAAGAGAGAAGGAAGAUAAUAAGAAGAGAAGGCAAGAAGAAGAAGAAGAAUCAAACAGACAGAAAUGGAACUUCCCUCAAAGGUGGUGCAGACCUGCCUGGGGCCCCUGAGAGCAGGAAGGCUUUCCUCCUGAAUCCAGCAGAGCUCUUCUCACCACGUGGCCAGAGUCUGCCUUCUGCAUGAAUGUCAUUGCCUAAGUGACUUCGAGAUGCAGAUGGAGCGUGGUUUCACCCUCAGUCUCUCCUCCUCUGGUUCACGCCCAUGUCUGAUUCCUGGGCAUCGCUUUGCCUCAGAAAGCCACCUCCAGUCUUUCCCACCCACUUCCAAUUUGCCCUUGCCCCUUCCUCCAAGCCAAGGCAGUGGUUGUAUAAACAUAGCUGUAUGUACAACACUCAGCUUUUACACUGGUCUCCAUUGAAUGAGUAAUCGCAUUACCAACCUUCUAAGCAAGUCGGCUCCCUCAGGACUGCCGUCUUCCAGCCCUCGUAGUACGAAAAUGAUUCAUUAGUCCCUUCAUCACAAUAACAUGAGUCACAUGUUAUGAAAAGCUAGGAGGAUGUAUUUUGUGUACACUGAAAUCUAAGGUUUGCAAAUUUCUGCAAUUUAACUUUAUUGAGGAGGGAGUGGGGUAGAAAUGAAUUCCACAUUUUUUCUAAGUACGAAAACCCACAUCAGGCAACAUCUGCUUAAGUCAGUCUCCAAGGACUCAAUGUAAACGGUUGUUGAUAUAAAUAGAUGUGUUUUUAAGCAAAGACAGAUGUCCCAGCCCCAAAUGUUAAGAAAACAAUUAAGUUCAAAGACAUGUUGGUUUUCAUUUCUUUCCCAAUAGGUGAAUCUUCACUGGGCUAUGACAAUGAGGGGUGGAAGAGAGAACACUGUGUUUCCCUGUGGAAAGCAAUUCCUGACUAUGCAGCCAGCUCUACUCCAGGGAAGAGAAGGCUCAGUCUCUCCCUUCAAAGAGUCUGUUUCUGGAUGCUGGCAGUCAUUCAGAAACAUUUGCUGAGCACCUCGUACCUGCUGAAUGAACCCACGUGAAGGGGAGCCAGGAGUGCGGAUCAUUAAAAAGCCUGUACUUUCUCAGUCCCCAUUUGACACCACAGAGAGAAAAUGCAUGCUCCUGAUUUGGGUAGAUCUAGAAUGUUCUUAUGAAUAUGGUAGGUGGAGCAAGGGAUCCAGGUUCUUAUGAUACAUGAUAAGAAAGGCCCUAGCUUGGUCAGACACAAAUAAAAGCCAAGCUUUUCAUCUAAACUCCCUUGCACCAUCACCCCCUUACCAACCAGUACAGAGAGCUUAACAUCUCUAUACCAGAUAGUGAAUGUUUCUAAUAAGAAUGGCAAAUUCUUAUUGUGAGAGAGAUAAGGGCAUUCAAGUGUUAAUUCAAGAGAAAUAUGUAUAUGGUUCUUUAAAUGAUUUAUUUACUAACAGCAUUAAGUAUGGUGUAAAGGAAUUUACAUACCCUAAUUCUCGUCUAUAUAUUUUUUUGGAUUUUAAAAUGACAACUUGUCUAAGUUCGCAUUAGUAUUAAGCCCUAACAUGAGACAGUAUUUAUAGCAUAAGAUUUUUGCCACCUAUUUUUAAUUGUAGCGCUGUUUUAUCAAUAAGAUCAAUUAAAGAGUUGAACAUUUGAAAAGAAGAAACAUGAAAAUGAAUUUCUAACUGUACGGUAUUGAAUACAUGAAAGUUCUCUUAAACUUAGUCCAGAGUCUCAAUAAACAUGGUAAGUAUGUAAUAAUUCACAUUUACAACCGCCAUAAAAACUCUAUCAACCAAAUUAUUUUAUGACGUCAAAAUUAUCUGAAAAAAAUUGAGGAACUAAAAUUUUUAAAAAUAGGUUCUCAGUUAGAGCUGUCUAUUAAAAGGAUAAAUUUUAAACUCUCCGGAGCUGGCCUUCCUGGUUCCAGGAGCAGCCUGUUGGCCUUCUCUCGCAAAGCUCAGUUCCUUUCCUCCAUUCCAGAAGACCCUCAAGCCUGUCCCAUGCACCUGGUUUUACAUUUUUAAAUGUUAAAAGGAAGACCACCGUGAAAGAUUGGCAUGUUAAUAGUAGGCUAAGGCGACAGGUGCUGGGGCUCCGGCUUAGAGAUCCCCACAGAUUCCAUGCUCCCAGGGCUGGCUGCAGCCAUCUGCCCCCACCCACCCCCACCCGGCCCAGCCCUCCCCUCCUGGAGGUGGAAUCGUGGCUUGCACAAUCCCCUCUGGGCCCCUGGGGGAGGCGCACCAUAUUGAUUUUUUGGACUUCGUUUCUGUGUGUCUCACCAGUCUUUGCCCGGCACAGUGACUCACUGGCGUCCCUUUCAGGACUUUCUCCCGCCUGAUAACAUCUAAAUGACUCAUGCCUACACCACCUGGAGAGCUCAGGGAAGGCACGGUUUGUUCAGGCCACCCUCACUCCAAGGGCCAGCCCUUUUUUGGAAUAGAAACUAAAAGUUGGUAGCUUCCAUUUGUAGUUCCAUCUAACAGAAGAGCCGACCCACUCACAUUAGCUGGCUCACGACUAAGGCAACCAAUGCCUCCCAGAACAUAGACUCAACUGGCAACCCCGGCACUGAAGGUCAAGGUGAGUCAAAGACACUCAUGCAGAAGGGUGGAUGCUCUUCCAAGUGUGACUGGCUGGCCUGCACGGCUCACUGCCUCCCCUCCUCCCGUCAAGAUGCAGCUUCAGUUUAAACCACCUUCGUUCCAUUCAUCAAAGAGGAAUAUUUACUGUUAUUGUAAUGACUCUUCUCACAGUACACAAGGCUACACCUGAAACACACAGGCCUUUCAGAAAGCACAAAGGAGCAUUGUGCAAGCCCCUGCCCAGUGAGAUGGAUGGGGGCGUAGACACGCCAGUUAACAGCCGGGCUUUGCAGGCCAGCAAGACUUAUCUGUGGCCGCACCAUGGCCACUGAGCUUGUACCUUUCUUCUUUUAAAAAUUGCUCCUUCAUUAUAAGCAGAGUUAAAUACCUGCACAUGUGAUUUGUGUUGAAAUAAUAAAGCAACAAACACACAUCAAGCUGAGGAGAGAAUCUUGGCUAAGGUAGGAAGUCGUGGGUCUGGUCUCAGUCUGUGCUGCUGACCAACUGUAAGAACUCAGAACUCACUGUCCACUCAGGACCACAGUGUCUCAUCUGAAAGGACGAGGAGACUGGAACACACCAGAGCCAUGGUUCUCAAUGUGUGGUCCAGAGGCCCUCGGGGGUCCCUGAGCCUCUUUCUGGGGAUCUGUGAGGUCAAAACUACUUUCACAAGUAUGGUUUGCCUUUUUCACUCUCACUCUCUCAUGCUUGAACAAUGGAAUCUUCUAAAGGCUUCCUGACACGUGAUGCUACAAUGGAUGGAAUCCAGAGGUGGAUAGGAGAAGCCAGCUGCCUUCUAUUAAACCAGAAAUGAAGAACAUUUGCAGAAAUGUACAACAAUGCCAUGCUUCCCAUUAAUUAUUUUGUUCUUGCUUUAGAAUAUGUCACUUUUCAUUGAAAAAUGUUACUCAUGAUUUUAUGUAAAAGGUUUAUUGUUGUUACUUUUAAAUACAUAUUUUAAGUGUUUUUUAGUUUUGAUUUCUAAUAUGGCAAAAAUUGGUAAAAUCACAUACACAAGGGCUUUUGGGGAUCCUCAAAACUUUUUAAGAGUGUAAAGGGAUCCAGAGACCAAAAGUUUGAUAACCACUAACCAAAAACUUUGACAACCAUCAUCUUGAAGGGUCCUUGGACUUUCUGGAAUUUGGAUCUCCCUUGCCUUGUUCAGUUUUCUCUCUUUUUAGCCAUCUCGUACUUACUGCCAUUUCAGUUCCUAUGUACCUGACUUAUUAAUUAUGCUUAUUGUUUACCAUGUGUGUUCCCCUCCCAUAUAAACUCCAUGAGGACUGAGAUAUUUGUCCAUGAUGUUCAUCAGUGCAUCCCAGGCUGCCUAGAACUGGGCCUGGCCCUUAGCAGGCACUUGUUUUUGGAUGGGAGGGAGGAGAAGGGAGGGGAGAGGGCAAGUUCUUUCAGUGUCUGUAUAAUGGACAGAGCAAGGUGUACCACCUCGGUGUGAUAGAAGAGAUGGAGACAGGAGAAAGGAAGCUCUGCACAGGAUCACGUGGUAGGUGGCAAAGUCAGGGCUCCAUCACAGCUUCUGUUGUCACAUGACUCUGUUAUCUGACCCUUUAAGGCAGCCCCUUCUGCUCCAACAGAGCUUCAGGGUAACUGAGUGCCCCGCAAUUGGUGUUAGC
rnacentral:lncRNA from 10 species